AUACACAGGAGGUCCUGCUAACCAAGAGGGAGGGAUAUACACAGGAGGUCCUGCUAACCAAGAGGGAGGGAUAUACACAGGAGGUCCUGCUAACCAAGUGGGAAGGGAUAUACACAGGAGGUCCUGUUAACCAACCUAGAGGGGGCGGGGGGGGGAUAUACACAGGAGGUCCUGUUAACCUAGAGGAAGGGAUAUACACAGGAGGUCCUGUUAACCUAGAGGAAGGGAUACACACAGGAGGUCCUGUUAACCUAGUGGGAAGGGAUAUACACAGGAGGUCCUGUUAACCUAGAGGAAGGGAUAUACACAGGAGGUCCUGUUAACCUAGAGGAAGGGAUAUACACAGGAGGUCCUG